rnacentral:rRNA from 1 species
GGAUAAUCUACCCGACAAUCAGGGAUAACAUUUCGAAAGGGAUGCUAAUACCUGAUAAGCCCACGACCUCUUCGGAGGCUGUGGGAAAAGGUGGGGACCUUCGGGCCUACCGUUGUCGGAUGAGUCCGCGUCUCAUUAGCUAGUUGGUAGGGUAAUGGCCUACCAAGGCUACGAUGGGUAGCUGGUCUGAGAGGAUGACCAGCCACACUGGAACUGAGACACGGUCCAG